UUCACCUUCACUUACAUGAGGCGGCGCCUGUAGAUGCUGCACCAAAGCCGGAACAGCGCCACAAUCUACAAUUACGUUCACAAUUUCCUCGUUUUUAGCAAAUUCAGAGAGGACAUGUAUAGCGCGUUUGGAAGAGGCUCGAUCUGACUCAGAUGAAGAAAAAGAUGACUCAAGAAUCUCGACCUGUGUACGAACUUCACGUUCCAGAUCUUGAUGACCAUCUUCGGAAGAUAUAGAAGGAGAAACCUUACGAUCGUCUUGGAGAUCUUCCUCUAACUUUCUCUUCAAGCUCCUCCUCGCAGAACUUGAGGAACGCUCGGUAAGUUUCUGGUUCUCCAUGGGAGAGAGGAAAUGAGGAAGAGGAGA
rnacentral:misc_RNA from 1 species